rnacentral:rRNA from 1 species
GUCCUUUUGUUUAUUUAUUUAAGGUCUGACCUGCCCAAUGAGGAAUUGAAUGGCCGCAGUAUUUUAACUGUGCUAAGGUAGCAUAAUCAUUUGUCUUUUAAUUGAGGGCUGGAAUGAAGGGUUGGACGAGGUAUUAACUUUCUUUGAUUUAAUGAGGAGAAUUUAAUUUUUGAGUUAAAAAGCUUAAAUUUAUUUGUGGGACGAGAAGACCCUAUAGAUCUUUAUAGUUUUAUAUUUUAAUAAUUUGGUGAUUUAUUUGUUUUAAGUAGAUGAACUAUUUUGUUGGGGUGACUGUAGAAUUUAAAUAACUUCUAUUAUUUUAUUUCAUUAAUUAAUGUUUUUGUGAUCCAUAUUUUAUGAUUAUAAGAUUAAGUUACCUUAGGGAUAACAGCGUAAUUUCCUCGGAGAGUUCAUAUUGAUGGGGGAGUUUGCGACCUCGAUGUUGGAUUMAAAUAAGUUAUGGAUGCAGGAGUCUAUUUACUAGGUCUGUUCGACCUUUAAAUUUUU